GAUUAUGGCUCAGGAUGAACGCUAGCGACAGGCUUAACACAUGCAAGUCGAGGGGCAGCACGGGAGUAGCAAGUACUUGGUGGCGACCGGCGCACGGGUGAGUAACGCGUAUGCAACCUACCUAUCAGAGGGGAAUAACCCGGCGAAAGUCGGACUAAUACCGCAUAAAACAGGGGCACCGCAUGGUGAUAUUUGUUAAAGAAAUUCGCUGAUAGAUGGGCAUGCGUUCCAUUAGGUAGUUGGUGAGGUAACGGCUCACCAAGCCGACGAUGGAUAGGGGAACUGAGAGGUUGGUCCCCCACACUGGUACUGAGACACGGACCAGACUCCUACGGGAGGCAGCAGUGAGGAAUAUUGGUCAAUGGGCGGGAGCCUGAACCAGCCAAGUCGCGUGAAGGAAAAGAAGGAUCUAUGGUUCGUAAACUUCUUUUGCAGGGGAAUAAAGUGCAGGACGUGUCCUGUUUUGUAUGUACCCUGAGAAUAAGGAUCGGCUAACUCCGUGCCAGCAGCUGC
rnacentral:rRNA from 1 species